rnacentral:siRNA from 1 species
UCAGGAUCUCAUGGUGUUUGG